UGGCGGCCCUUCGGGGCGGGUGGUGUGCGGGGGAAGGAGACUGGUUCUUCGCCAGCGCCUGAGGGUCGGGUCCAACGAGCCUCAGCCCCGAGGGGGAAUUCGCCGGGCUGCAGGAAGCAGAGAGGCACACUCUGUGCUUUAAACAACACUGAGGAUCGCGGCAGAUCAUCACUGAUGUCAGCUUCUUCUGGAACACUGUGCCUCAAGAAUGGGAUGGUUUUUGGAUAAGUAAACAUAGAGGGUCUACCCUCGCUAUUUUUUUCCCCUGUGCUGUUGCUAAGAGUGCUGCUAUAAAACAAGAUGCAGGGUAUGAAAUCUGUCCUCUGCAAGAAAAUUCUCGGAGCUAAAGAAGAGUCACAACAAGGUAAGACAGCAGAACAGCUAUCAAAUUUGAAUGUGAGAAAAUUGGGAAGGAGAAUGAUUAUGAGUCAGGACUGAAGCCAAACUUUGGUCACAAGCCACUUUAUACAGUGAGCAGGUUAUUCCACACCUACCUGUUAUGAGUUUUCUUAUAUUCAUGCAAAGGUCAGAUAUCAAUCACUGUCAAGAGAUCAAGUUUGUGAAGCAGAGAGAAAAGAGGCUGCAUGAAUAAUGUCAACACCAACGCUUUGGGUCUCUCACACCCUAAGCCAUUUCUUUGGAAGAUGGCAGAGGUGGAUACACAAGCAAACAGUCCUGUGCAAUACUGGAGAAUGCUUGCUGCCAUUGUCUGCAUCUCAUUUGUGAAAUCCAAGGACUGAUUUUGCUUGUAAACUGCUGAUAUCUCUUUUGAUCUUUUUUUUGACACCUCAAUACCUCUGGAAGAAUGUAGUGCUGAGUAAAGUGACCCAUGUUCUCCCAAAACAGAGACUUGCCUCUAUUGAAUGUUGCUGAAUUGUUCAUUGCUUUGAUUUUUUAAAAGAAAACAAAAAGGACAGACCAGUUUCUCUUGUGUUCUCUGUCUACAGUAAAGGCUCCUUAAAUUAAUGUCCUUUCAAAUAUAAGUAGAAUAAAUAUACAGGAUAUGCACAUGGGCAUAAAAAGUGCUGCAACAUCUGAAAACAUGUUUCUUGAUUUCUUGACCAAUUCUUCUCAAGUACCUCAAUGCCACACAGGAAUUACUU